rnacentral:tmRNA from 1 species
UUGAUUUUCGGCUUUUUUUCUUUUAUAAUGAACUUGUCAAGCAAUUGACUAUGAUACUAAACGGGAAGCGAAAUAGGCGUAGUGGACUCGGGGGCGGUACCCGACACCUCCACCAAAAAAGGAACGAUACAAUCGGGGGUGACAUAGGUUCGACACGCGUAGUAAAGGCUUUUUCUUGUAUCCGGCAUUGUACCGCCGUUAUCGGGCUAUUUAUUAAAUGCGAAUGAUAAUUUCGUUCCGGUCGCUCGCGCUGCUUAGUGCAGCCUAGCGGCAAAUCAAUCCCUUGGGCUAUGAACGCCUAAGGUGGGGAUUGGGGUUUUCCUAGCAACAGAAAAACCCC